AACCUGAAGCGUAUGUAACCCAAGGUUCCACUGUACUAAUUUUUUUUGACAGGAUUUAGCACAAAGUUUCUGUUUUUUUGCUAUGAGUUUUUAAAGAUACAACUUUUGAGAACUCUGAAAUUUGCAAAGCAAAAAUUUGUCUGGGGGUGAGGGCUGGAACUGACACUAAACAAAUUAUAUUAUGAUUGCCUUAGUAUCUUACAUGGGAUUUGAUACUGGGCUGAUGUCUUAUAAUUACAGAUAGCUGAUGGAGUCUAACAUUUAUAGGUGUGCAGUACGCUCAGGCAAAAUGAACAUUUCUGAACUCACCCAUUAAGCUUAGUUCAACUGACUGUUUGAAACAAGUUUCAGGAGCCCAAGGCCAGCCCAUCCAUUAAGCUGGGUGAAGCAGUUCCUCAGGCGGUGGAAGCCCCAAGGCUGCAUCCUUGUGAGUACCGCACUGACCCUGCUUCUGGUUGAGAAGCAUCAUUGUCAUUGGUGCUCAUUUUCUGCAAGAUCUUGCUGAAUCUCACAAGGUUUCAUGGAUCACAAGAGAUUUUGCCAGAAAUUGGUGACAAUGGCAGUGCCGCUUCUCUGCCAGAAAAGUGGACGCAAUGGUGGCACCAAAGAGGUGGCUUCUGCAGUGGCAGCGGAGGCACCAGGGGUGAGCAGAAUGGGGCAGCACUUUCCAUUUCAGAGAGUAAAAUGGGACAUGCCACCCCUCCAUGAGUCCAAGUUGUGAACAUUGUUUUAAAAAGUUUGUGAUAUGGAACGAAACAUUUUAUUUAGCUAAUACAAGAAUGUUGUGGGCCUAAGCAUCAUCAUAAUUCUAAUUAGACUCAUCAUCGUAUAUUUUUGGAAAGUUGUUUACUUGUUUGUUAUGCAUUAGGACAUCUUCUGAGAUACUGUAACCAAAUUUUGCAUGAUAGUUCCUGAUAUCAAGGAGCAGGUUUUCUGUUAGGAAUGUGAUUAUCCAGUACAAAUAUGGGAGGAUAAUCAAGCAGUAAUCUCUGGUAGAUUCUGAGCAGUUUAAAGGUAAAUCAAAACAUAUAGAGAUUAAAUAUCAAAAUAUAAGAGAAAAUAUUAAACAAAACCUCAAAAUGUUGAAAUACUGUGAGAGCAAGCAAAAUGUGUCAGAUAUAUUUACAAAAGCCCUUACAUUUGAGAAACAUGCACAACUGGUGACAAAAUUAGGAGUUGUGUUGCAUGAUGUAUAAAUAUGUUUUGUAUAUAUUUAUGGCAUUGUAUUGUUUCUGUUUGAAUGAGAGGGGGUGUUAGGAAGUCAUUCUGUAAAGAAACAGAAUAAGGUGCUUGUAGCUUUAAAGAAGUUUUCUUUAAUAGUUAGGAGUGACACUCUAGGCUGAUUGGUUUCAGCUGGGAAUGAAAAUAAAAAAACUAAACCUUUCAAAACUCGACUGAUUUGAACCAAUUUUGCAUGUUGGUUCCUGAAUAUGUUUUUGUUUAUGUUUGGGUAGGAUUAGAUGCCAUUUUGAGUAAAAAUGGCAGACCUUUUAAAGAUGAACCUUUUUAAACUGCACUGAAUUUAUCCACUAAUUUCAAAACUGCAUGGCUUUUUUGUUUUUUUAGAAUUCCCAAGCAACACCAGGUAUGUGGCUUCUGGUCCUCUAUAUAUCAGAUUUCCAGAGCUUUAGUUACAGUAUAUUUGUGGUCCUUUUAGCAGACCAAUAAGGUAGGAUAGUGUUAAUAUAUUCAUGUUGUGGAUCAGACAGAGAGAAUAUUAUUUUGCAUCAUAUUUUUAUGACCCAUUAUAAAGAGAUAACUUUUCUUAAUACAGCAGUCAUUUUUUAAAAAACAGCAAUUUUUAUCUCUUUCUUGUUUACGAGAAGCUCUAUGAAUUGUAGUGUUUGUGUUUCUUUCUUAGGUUUUCAGGUUAUUUUUAAUUAAUGUGUAAAGACUUCAAUUAUCUUAAGUAGUUAUACAUAUAUAUGCACAUGCAGAAGGCUGACAGGAGGCUUUGGAGCAACUGUGCACGAUCUUGUGAAUUUUAGGCUGAGAAUGUCUCUCGGGAGUCCUGCUUUCUAUCAUUUAAAAAGCUUUUAUAAUCACUUAGUCCGAAACAGUGAUGUAGGCCAGAGUUUGAAUCCUUGGCAUAUUGCUUAUAAUGCUGCAUUAGCUUAAUCCUUCAUUUUCUUGUCAAUUAAAGACUUAUCUUUAUUCACAG